rnacentral:rRNA from 1 species
GAGUGAACGCUGGCGGUAGGCCUACCACAUUCAAGUCGAACGGCAGCACAGUAAGAGCUUGCUCUUACGGGUGGCGAGUGGCGGACGGGUGAGGAAUACAUCGGAAUCUACUUUUUCGUGGGGGAUAACGUAGGGAAACUUACGCUAAUACCGCAUACGACCUACGGGUGAAAGCAGGGGAUCUUCGGACCUUGCGCGAUUGAAUGAGCCGAUGUCGGAUUAGCUAGUUGGCGGGGUAAAGGCCCACCAAGGCGACGAUCCGUAGCUGGUCUGAGAGGAUGAUCAGCCACACUGGAACUGAGACACGGUCCAGACUCCUACGGGAGGCAGCAGUGGGGAAUAUUGGACAAUGGGCGCAAGCCUGAUCCAGCCAUACCGCGUGGGUGAAGAAGGCCUUCGGGUUGUAAAGCCCUUUUGUUGGGAAAGAAAAGCAGCAGGUUAAUACCCCGCUGUUCUGACGGUACCCAAAGAAUAAGCACCGGCUAACUUCGUG